CGUAGGGUGCGAGCGUUAAUCGGAAUUACUGGGCGUAAAGCGUGCGCAGGCGGUUUUGUAAGACAGAUGUGAAAUCCCCGGGCUCAACCUGGGACCUGCAUUUGUGACUGCAAGGCUAGAGUACGGUAGAGGGGGAUGGAAUUCCGCGUGUAGCAGUGAAAUGCGUAGAUAUGCGGAGGAACACCGAUGGCGAAGGCAAUCCCCUGGACCUGUACUGACGCUCAUGCACGAAAGCGUGGGGGGCAAACAGGAUUAGAUACCCUGGUAGUCCACGCCCUAAACGAUGUCAACUGGUUGUUGGGUCUUUACUGACUCAGUAACGAAGCUAACGCGUGAAGUUGACCGCCUGGGGAGUACGGCCGCAAGGUUG
rnacentral:rRNA from 1 species